rnacentral:lncRNA from 1 species
GACAUCAAACAACCAAUCCACUCCAGGUAAGUGUGAAAAUAUGACAUGAUAUCUUGUAUAAUUUAUUUACCUUCAGUGCAAACUAAUUAUCUUUCUUGUUUAGAUUUAGGCAGUGCGUUUCCCACACCAGGCACUUUUAAUAAGAAGGGCAAGUCCAGACAAAUGGACAAGGAUUUCCACAGUAGAAACCGACUGAGUCACACUUCAUCACCUUUGUACUUUGCCAAGUCCAAACGACCUGCACCUACAGACCUUGACGGAGUGGGAGCUACUAAUCGUCUCCCUGGGGGUCAGCCGGUCCCACGUAGACAACGCAGCCUACACACAAAGGGAGGAAGGUCAGCUCCCUUUCUGACUAGUCUACGUAUUCUGGAGACGAACCAAGAGAUCACUGCAAAAAACUGCGCCACAUCUAAGAGCUGCAGGUAUAAACGUUAAUACCAAUGUCAAACAUUUAUCUGUCAAACUAGAGGAAAAAAGUGUCAAACCAAGA